UGUAUCUGAAGUCUGACGAGGAUGAGAACCUCCGGGGGCAAGAGGUUCGACCCGAGCGAAGCGAGAAAACGUUGCGCCAGCAACGGCCCGCAGGGCGAGCCACCCUCUAUCACCGGCAG
rnacentral:sRNA from 4 species